rnacentral:rRNA from 1 species
ACAUUGUGUCUUCGAGUCGUUGAUUUCACACUGCCGAGAAAAGCCUCUAGAUAGAAAAUAGGUGCCCGUACCGCAAACCGACACAGGUAGUCAAGAUGAGAAUUCUAAGGUGAGCGAGCGAACUCUCGUUAAGGAACUCGGCAAAAUGACCCCGUAACUUCGGGAGAAGGGGUGCUCUUUAGGGUUAACGCCCAGAAGAGCCGCAGUGAAUAGGCCCAAGCGACUGUUUAUCAAAAACACAGGUCUCUGCUAAACCGUAAGGUGAUGUAUAGGGGCUGACGCCUGCCCGGUGCUGGAAGGUUAAGAGGAGUGGUUAGCUUCUGCGAAGCUACGAAUCGAAGCCCCAGUAAACGGCGGCCGUAACUAUAACGGUCCUAAGGUAGCGAAAUUCCUUGUCGGGUAAGUUCCGACCCGCACGAAAGGCGUAACGAUUUGGGCACUGUCUCAACGAGAGACUCGGUGAAAUCAUAGUACCUGUGAAGAUGCAGGUUACCCGCGACAGGACGGAAAGACCCCGUGGAGCUUUACUGUAGCCUGAUAUUGAAAUUCGGCACAGCUUGUACAGGAUAGGUAGGAGCCUUUGAAACGUGAGCGCUAGCUUACGUGGAGGCGCUGGUGGGAUACUACCCUAGCUGUGUUGGCUUUCUAACCCGCACCACUUAUCGUGGUGGGAGACAGUGUCAGGCGGGCAGUUUGACUGGGGCGGUCGCCUCCUAAAAGGUAACGGAGGCGCUCAAAGGUUCCCUCAGAAUGGUUGGAAAUCAUUCAUAGAGUGUAAAGGCAUAAGGGAGCUUGACUGCGAGACCUACAAGUCGAGCAGGGUCGAAAGACGGACUUAGUGAUCCGGUGGUUCCGCAUGGAAGGGCCAUCGCUCAACGGAUAAAAGCUACCCCGGGGAUAACAGGCUUAUCUCCCCCAAGAGUUCACAUCGACGGGGAGGUUUGGCACCUCGAUGUCGGCUCAUCGCAUCCUGGGGCUGUAGUCGGUCCCAAGGGUUGGGCUGUUCGCCCAUUAAAGCGGUACGCGAGCUGGGUUCAGAACGUCGUGAGACAGUUCGGUCCCUAUCCGUCGUGGGCGUAGGAAAUUUGAGAGGAGCUGUCCUUAGUACGAGAGGACCGGGAUGGACAUACCUCUGGUGUACCAGUUGUCGUGCCAACGGCAUAGCUGGGUAGCUAUGUGUGGACGGGAUAAGUGCUGAAAGCAUCUAAGCAUGAAGCCCCCCUCAAGAUGAGAUUUCCCAACUUCGGUUAUAAGAUCCCUCAAAGAUGAUGAGGUUAAUAGGUUCGAGGUGGAAGCAUGGUGACAUGUGGAGCUGACGAAUACUAAUCGAUCGAAGAC